GAUGAACGCUGGCGGCGUGCCUAAUACAUGCAAGUCGAGCGAACAGACGAGGAGCUUUCUCCUCUGACGUUAGCGGCGGACGGGUGAGUAACACGUGGAUAACCUACCUAUAAGACUGGGAUAACUUCGGGAAACCGCAGCUAAUACCGGAUAAUAUAUUGAACCGCAUGGUUCAAUAGUGAAAGACGGUUUUGCUGUCACUUAUAGAUGGAUUCGCGUCGCAUUAGCUAGUUGGUAAGGUAACGGCUUACCAAGGCAACGAUGCGUAGCCGACCUGAGAGGGUGAUCGGCCACACUGGAACUGAGACACGGUCCAGACUCCUACGGGAGGCAGCAGUAGGGAAUCUUCCGCAAUGGGCGAAAGCCUGACGGAGCAACGCCGCGUGAGUGAUGAAGGUCUUCGGAUCGUAAAACUCUGUUAUUAGGGAAGAACAAAUGUGUAAGUAACUAUGCACGUCUUGACGGUACCUAAUCAGAAAGCCACGGCUAACUACGUG
rnacentral:rRNA from 1 species